rnacentral:rRNA from 1 species
UACGGAGGGGGCUAGCGUUGUUCGGAAUUACUGGGCGUAAAGCGCGCGUAGGCGGACCUGCAAGUCGGGGGUGAAAGUCCGAGGCUCAACCUCGGAACUGCCUUCGAUACUGCGGGUCUCGAGUCCGGGAGAGGUGAGUGGAAUUCCUAGUGUAGAGGUGAAAUUCGUAGAUAUUAGGAAGAACACCAGUGGCGAAGGCGGCUCACUGGCCCGGUACUGACGCUGAGGUGCGAAAGCUUGGGGAGCAAACAGG